rnacentral:rRNA from 1 species
AAUCAACGCUGGCGGCGUGCCUAACACAUGCAAGUCGCACGAGAAAGGGUCUUCGGAUCUGCGUAAAGUGGCGCAUGGGUGAGUAACAAGUGAAUUAUCUACAUUCGAGUGGGGAAUAACUUCGGGAAACCGAGGCUAAUACCGCAUAAUAACUACGGAUCAAAGCAGUGAAUGCGCUUGAAGAGGAGUGCGCGGGAGAUUAGUUAGCUGGCGGGGUAAUGGCCCACCAAGACGAUGAUCUGUAUCCGGGCUGAGAGGGCGCACGGACACACUGGCACGGAAACACGGUCCAGAAUCCUGCGGGAGGCAGCAGUGGGGAAUUUUGCGCAAUGGGGGAAGCCCUGACGCAGCGACGCCGCGUGGAGGAUGAAGUCUCUUGGGACGUAAACUCCUUUCGAUAGGGAAGAUUAUGACGGUACCUAUAGAAGAAGCCCCGGCUAACUUCGUGCCAGCCGCCGCAGUAA